UAAUUCUCUUGGUAUUUGCCACUUCC
rnacentral:piRNA from 1 species